rnacentral:rRNA from 1 species
GUCUACGGCCAUGUCACCCUGAACAAGGCCAAUCCUGUAUGAUCUUGGAAGCUAAGCAGGGUUGGGCCUGGUUAGUACUUAGAUGGGAGACCAUCUAGGAAGACCAGAUAUUGUAGGUG